UCUGGGUCGGUCUGGAAGACUUGUGAUUUUGUUGUUUCUGGUGUCAGGGAAGCGAACAACAAAUCCCAGUCUCCUCACAGCCCCAGGACUGGCCUCCA
ensembl:miRNA